rnacentral:lncRNA from 1 species
GAAAAGCAUUCAACUAAAUGAACUACGGAUAUUCAUAUUUAACUGAGAAGGGAUGAAGUAUCACAACCACGUCACAGGAAUCGUACCCGUAGUCGUUAUCGAUUUACUUCCUAAAUUAAAUUGAGAUGUUUACCAAAGGACAGGAGUUAUGGGAUCACAUUGGGGCAAAUUGUAUCUGAAACGAAAAGGUCUAAAAAAAACAAAGUCACAAUAUGAUAAAGCACAAAUCACUGACUUCAUGUUUUAUAUCAGGCACAACGUGAUGUAUAUAACAAUCAAACACAUAUUGAUCUGCACACACAUUACAGAAUAAACAUCCCAAACCUUGCACACUUAAUAACAAACCAAAUCAAUACUAACCACAUCUGGAAGAAAUCCGAGGUAAAAGAUCAAAUCAUUUCACAAAUUUUUUAUCCCUAUUUACCAAAAGACAGUAUAUAUCAAAACAAGUAGAAACCCCACAUCAGAUAUCAAUACUACAACACUCAUGAAACUUUAAACAAAAUAGUCACAAAUGGUCCUAAAUUGUCUACUUUAUCCAUUCCAAACAAAACUAAAAUCAAUUGCUAACGUGGUCUACGGUACACUCGUUCUAAAAUGCUAAUGCAAAUAAAGGUAAAGCAAGUUAAAUGGAAUAAACUAUCUUUUAGUAAAGAAGAUUAAACGAAAACCAUGAAAUCUACUCCGAUACAGUCGUUCUAAAAUGCUAAUGCAAAUCAAGGUAAAGCAAGUAAGUUAAAUGGAAUAAACUAUCUGUUAGUAAAGAAGAUUAAAAGAAAACCAUGGAAUCUCCUCCCUUGCCGUGAAACAGAGCGAGCCAAAUGUUUAACAGAUAAUCCACUUCUUUGUACAAAUUCUAGAUCCCAAACAACCACAAGAACAGUAGUAUCUACGAUCCAUACGAAUAAAACCUGAUUUCGAACUCAAGAUACUCAUAUCAAUUUGGCAGUGGUAUUCGUAAAAAAACAAUUCCAUUUAUAAGCAUAAAACAAAUUACAUCAAUAUGAGAACAUACAUUUCAGGGACUCAUAAGAAGCAGGUAGGCGAAAUACCUCGAUAGCAAUACUACAGCUUGAGAUUAACCAAAUGAAUUCUGAAAUAAUGGGGUGAAACUCGACGCGUUCAAGCAGGAUGCUCGACAACAGUAGCAGCAGCAAUUUGAGACCCAAUUAACCAACAGCUUUCAAUGGUGUCCAGAAAAUAUGCAACAGUAGAAUGAAAUCCAACACCAGUUUUAAAUCUCCCUUUUUAGAUCUAGUUGUGCGAAAAUUGGCUAAAAACACCAAAUGAAUAGACAAAUGGACCAAAUGAAGCUCAACAAGACAGCAACUCCAUGGCUGAAAACCUUUAGGAAACCCAGACAGAAGGGAAAAUUUCGAAAUCAGUCCCCUUCAAACCCCAUUGAAAAUUCCAGUUUUCUCAUUUCUCUUGUUUCAACAAUUUCGUGUGUGCUUCUGAUUUUUCCUUCGAUCGAGUUUUUGUUUUUUCUUUUUUUUUUUAAAUUUUUGAGUGAGGUUAGAGAUGGGUGGCUACGGUUUUUUGGUCAGUUCUUUUUUUCUUGAUUUUUGAGUGAGAUUAGAGAUGGGUGGCUAAGGUUUUUUGGUUAGAGGAGGGGUUCUCUUUUUCCCUUUGUAGAGAGGGGUGUCCUUCUCUCUAUUUCUGGGAGCCAAUUUUGGUGUGUGUGAGAUCUCCCCCUGAGAAUUGAGAAGAAGGAAAGGGUAAAUAGCUGGUAUCCAACAUUGGAGAAGGGAGCAUGCUAUUUCCGUGUCUCUAAGGGGAAGGAGUUCGGACCGGGUCAG